GCUAGGAUGAACGCUGGCGGCGUGCCUAACACAUGCAAGUCGAGCGAUUACUUCGGUAAAGAGCGGCGGACGGGUGAGUAACGCGUGGGUAACCUGCCUCAUACACAUGGAUAACAUACCGAAAGGUAUGCUAAUACAGGAUAAUAUAAGAGAUUCACAUGGAUUUCUUAUCAAAGCUCCGGCGGUAUGAGGUGGACCCGCGUCUGAUUAGCUAGUUGGUAAGGUAAUGGCUUACCAAGGCGACGAUCAGUAGCCGACCUGAGAGGGUGAUCGGCCACACUGGAACUGAGACACGGUCCAAACUCCUACGGGAGGCAGCAGUGGGGAAUAUUGCACAAUGGGCGAAAGCCUGAUGCCAGCAACGCCGCGUGAGUGAUGAAGGCCUUCGGGUCGUAAAACUCUGUCCUCAAGGAAGAUAAUCGACGGUACUUGAGGAGGAAGCCCCGGCUAACUACGUGCCAGCAGCCGC
rnacentral:rRNA from 1 species